CAGGUAGGCUAACAUAAAAAGUAAUAAUAAAAAGGUUAUAUACAGGGGGCACCGGUACCGGGUCAGUGUGCAGGGGGUACAGGCUAGUUGAGGUGAUAUACAGCCAUAUACCAGUACUGAGUCAAUGUGGAGGUUAUAUACAGGGGGCACCGGUACCGGGUCAGUGUGCAGGGGGGGUACAGGCUAGUUGAGGUAAUAUAUAGCCCACAACAGGGUUUCUCUAGAGAAUGUAGCCUAUAUACAGCCCAGACCAGGGUUUCUCUAGAGAAUGUAGCCUACACCAGGGUUUCUCUAGAGAAUGUAGCCUAUAUACAGCCCACACCAGGGUUUCUCUAGAGAAUGUAGCCUAUAUACAGCCCACACCAGGGUUUCUCUAGAGAAUGUAGCCUAUAUACAGCCCACACCAUGGUGUCUCUAGAGAAUGUAGCCUAUAUAUAGCCCAC
ensembl:lncRNA